GACGAACGCUGGCGGCGUGCCUAAUACAUGCAAGUCGAACGCUUCUUUUUCCACCGGAGCUUGCUCCACCGGAAAAAGAGGAGUGGCGAACGGGUGAGUAACACGUGGGUAACCUGCCCAUCAGAAGGGGAUAACACUUGGAAACAGGUGCUAAUACCGUAUAACAAUCAAAACCGCAUGGUUUUGAUUUGAAAGGCGCUUUCGGGUGUCGCUGAUGGAUGGACCCGCGGUGCAUUAGCUAGUUGGUGAGGUAACGGCUCACCAAGGCCACGAUGCAUAGCCGACCUGAGAGGGUGAUCGGCCACAUUGGGACUGAGACACGGCCCAAACUCCUACGGGAGGCAGCAGUAGGGAAUCUUCGGCAAUGGACGAAAGUCUGACCGAGCAACGCCGCGUGAGUGAAGAAGGUUUUCGGAUCGUAAAACUCUGUUGCUAGAGAAGAACAAGGAUGAGAGUAACUGUUCAUCCCUUGACGGUAUCUAACCAGAAAGCCACGGCUAACUACGUGCCAGCAGCCGCAGUAA
rnacentral:rRNA from 1 species